GUCGGAUCUCCUGCUCAAGCAGGAGGCUGGACUAGAAGCCCUCUGAGGUCCCUUCCCACUCCGUUACCCUGGGAAUUUUUCACCCCUUAAAUUCUGCUUUGCAGUCUUUUACACUACAUUACCCAGCGGAAGCAACACCGAGACCGAUGGGUCGGAGCACUGCAAUCCACCUCCGUUCCCUUGCAUCUGAUUUAUGGACCACUGGAUCCGGUCAACCCUCAUCCGGAAUUUCUCCCGCUUUAUAAACAGAUGCUUCCCACGUCGACAGUGACGGUGCUGGAUGACCACAUCAGCCAUUAUCCACAGCUGGAGGAGCCUCAGGGUUUUCUGAACGCCUACUUAAACUUCAUCAACUCCUUCUGAGCCACAAAGACGAUGGACAGAAACCAUUCCUGCUCUUCCGAGGACAGUUUUGCACUCUGGAGCAACAGGAGAGGCGUGGGAAGAGCGGAUGGAAACUCCGGACGGCGGUGAACCAGUCUUUCAUGCAAUCUCUGCGUCGGCGAGUAAAUUGACGGAAUCUUACCCGACGGAUUGGUGGGGACGGUGGUGGAGGGGUCUGAAGCAGUUUGACGGGAGCCCCCCUCCCGGGCUUUCCCCCCAAAAUCCUGCCUCUGGAGGAUGCGGGGAGAGAAAGUCCAGGGGAAUAAGCGAGCAGAAAUGAGAACGGCCCAUCAGGAUCGGGAUGAUAACCGUACGGGUAGUCCUGGACUUACGAAUGGUUCGUUUAGUGACUGAAGUUACAACUGUGCUGAAAAAAAAGGGAACUUUGAGCAUUUUUCACACUUAUGACCACCGUGGCAUCCCCGUGGUUAGGGGAUCGAACUUCGGACGCUUGGUACCGGACUCGUAUUUAAGACGGUUGAAGUGUCCCGGAUCAUGUGGUCAUUUUUGGGACUCGACUGCUUUGAAACGCAUCAAAUUUGGUCCUCAGCGCAUUUUGACACAAAAGGUUUGCCCCAGGGACUCAUCGCUUGGCACUCCGCGCACAAGGUACAGGCAGUCCUCGACUUACGACCACGGAGCCCCAAAUAUUUUGCCGCUAAGUGGGACAUUUGUAAAGCGCUCUUGCCCACCGUUACACGACUUUUCUCGCCACCGUUGUGUAGUGAAUCUCCACAGUUGUUAAGUGAGUCACCCGGUUGUUAAGUGAAUC